rfam:Theobroma cacao cultivar Matina 1-6 chromosome 4, whole genome shotgun sequence.
GUCAAGAUCGCCGAGUUGAUCUAAGGCGCCAGUUUCAGGUACUCGUCCGAAAGGGCAUGGGUUCGAAUCCCAUUCGUGACA